rnacentral:rRNA from 1 species
GACGACACUCUGGCGGCGUGCUUAACACAUGCAAGUCGAACGGUAAGGCUCCAGCUUGCUGGGGUACACGAGUGGCGAACGGGUGAGUAACACGUGGGUGACCUGCCCUGCACUUCGGGAUAAGCCUGGGAAACUGGGUCUAAUACCGGAUAGGACCGCACCGUGAGGGUGUGGUGGAAAGUUUUUUCGGUGUGGGAUGGGCCCGCGGCCUAUCAGCUUGUUGGUGGGGUAAUGGCCUACCAAGGCGGCGACGGGUAGCCGGCCUGAGAGGGUGGACGGCCACAUUGGGACUGAGACACGGCCCAGACUCCUACGGGAGGCAGCAGUGGGGAAUAUUGCACAAUGGGCGGAAGCCUGAUGCAGCGACGCCGCGUGGGGGAUGACGGCCUUCGGGUUGUAAACUCCUUUCACCAUCGACGAAGGGUUUCUGACGGUAGAUGGAGAAGAAGCACCGGCUAACUACGUGCCAGCAGCCGCGGUAAUACGUAGGGUGCGAGCGUUGUCCGGAAUUACUGGGCGUAAAGAGCUCGUAGGUGGUUUGUCGCGUCGUCUGUGAAAUUCCGGGGCUUAACUCCGGGCGUGCAGGCGAUACGGGCAUAACUUGAGUACUGUAGGGGAGACUGGAAUUCCCGGUGUAGCGGUGAAAUGCGCAGAUAUCAGGAGGAACACCGGUGGCGAAGGCGGGUCUCUGGGCAGUAACUGACGCUGAGGAGCGAAAGCAUGGGGAGCGAACAGGAUUAGAUACCCUGGUAGUCCAUGCCGUAAACGGUGGGCGCUAGGUGUGGGUUUCCUUCCACGGGAUCCGUGCCGUAGCUAACGCAUUAAGCGCCCCGCCUGGGGAGUACGGCCGCAAGGCUAAAACUCAAAGGAAUUGACGGGGGCCCGCACAAGCGGCGGAGCAUGUGGAUUAAUUCGAUGCAACGCGAAGAACCUUACCUGGGCUUGACAUAUACAGGAUCGCGCCAGAGAUGGUGUUUCCCUUGUGGCUUGUAUACAGGUGGUGCAUGGUUGUCGUCAGCUCGUGUCGUGAGAUGUUGGGUUAAGUCCCGCAACGAGCGCAACCCUUGUCUUAUGUUGCCAGCACGUUGUGGUGGGGACUCGUAAGAAACUGCCGGGGUUAACUCGGAGGAAGGUGGGGAUGACGUCAAAUCAUCAUGCCCCUUAUGUCCAGGGCUUCACACAUGCUACAAUGGUCGGUACAGUGGGUUGCCAGUCCGUGAGGGCGAGCUAAUCCCGCAAAGCCGGUCUCAGUUCGGAUCGGGGUCUGCAACUCGACCCCGUGAAGUCGGAGUCGCUAGUAAUCGCAGAUCAGCAACGCUGCGGUGAAUACGUUCCCGGGCCU